UACGUAGGGAGCAAGCGUUGUUCGGAGUUACUGGGCGUAAAGGGUGCGUAGGCGGUCCUAUAAGUAUGGUGUGAAAUCUCCCGGCUUAACUGGGAGGGUGCGCUAUAGACUGUGGGACUAGAGUGUGGGAGAGGAAAGUGGAAUUCCUGGUGUAGCGGUGAAAUGCGUAGAUAUCAGGAGGAACACCGGUGGUGUAAACGGCUUUCUGGACCAUAACUGACGCCGAGGCACGAAAGCGUGGGUAGCAAACAGG
rnacentral:rRNA from 1 species